CCCAGCUUUAGCUCAGUCGGUAGAGCAUGAGACUCUUAAUUUCAGGGUCGUGGGUUCGAGCCCCACGUUGGGC
rnacentral:tRNA from 1 species